UCUGCAAGAAUUAUGUUUCUAGCCCCUUCCUAGGCCGAGAAAAUAGCUUAAAACCAAUUAGGGUUAGGGUUAGGUCAAAAUUAAAGCCGGUGCCGCCGAAGGCGGCAACGGCGGGUGCACGGGCCAUCAUCAGAAUAAACCCCGAGAUCCCCGACCCACCCCCACAUUCAAACCCACAGGUUGCAGGGAACCCAGUCUGGCGAUCCAAAUCGCCUCCACUCUGCGGCGCUGGGCGACAGACCAGUUGGUUGGCCUCGAGAACAGUACUCGUGAGGGCAGGCCAGCCAUGCAGUAUGAAGUGGUUCACCAAAGGGAGGUCUCACUACUGCAAUCCGAGACUAUGGGACGUCCCGGAGGAAUCUCGGAUGGCCUACUCCAGGCCGCAGGGUCCUUGUGGAUUUUGGGCAACAUAUAGAAGAGCCUGGGCCUGGGCUCGGCGUCCCCAAUGAGAAAAGAAGACUAUGGUGUCCAAGAAGGGGACCUGCUGGAGAGGAAGGGUGUGUUUAAGAGCAAUGCCGGGGGUGGUGUGAAUUAAGGAUGUGAAUAAAGUGA